rnacentral:lncRNA from 1 species
UUUUCAAGAAAAUAAUCCAUCAGAAUCAGAAGAAAAAAGAAACAAGUCAUACACAACUUCUUUGUAAUACAAUUUAUGUCACCUUGAACAGAAACUGAGGAAGAGAGAUUCUUCUGUGCAGAAACUACAGCUUUGUUUUCUGAGGUAUGUACUGCAUCCAUAAUGCUUCUCUUAGCAGUUUUAAAUUAUCCAAAUCAUAUCAAAUCACAAAGAAACAGAAUAAGAUUUUGCUUUUUCCUCUUAUGCUUUCCUGGUAUUUGAUUCAAGGAAAAUAUAACUAAUCCCAAAACCAAGAAUUCAAAUGGAUUGCAGGUGGUUAAUGCUUGAGGCUGGAAGUUCGGAUUUAAAGCAUAUACUAAGGGAAGCUAACAAGGUAGCGGAUGAUUAGCAAUGCAUGGAAGUAAUUUGGAAGUUUUUGAAAGCUUAAAUGUUCUAUGAUGUACCCUUUUUCUUGCUUUAUCACCUUAUGAAAAUGAUUGACUAUGUACUAUGUAUCCUAGACAAAUCAAACUGUGCACUGCAGUAAACUUUAGCACUAAUAAUAUUAGUUUCUUUUUUACCAAAAAAAAAAAAAAAUUCAAAAAUUCCUGAUUUUACAUAAACAAA